GAUGAAGAACGCAGCGAAAUGCGAUAAGUAAUGUGAAUUGCAGAAUUCAGUGAAUCAUCGAAUCUUUGAACGCACAUUGCGCCCGUCAGUAUUCUGGCGGGCAUGCCUGUUCGAGCGUCAUUACGCCCCUCAAGUCCCCUGUGGACUUGGUGUUGGGGAUCGGCGAGGCUGGUUUUCCAGCACAGCCGUCCCUUAAAUUAAUUGGCGGUCUCGCCGUGGCCCUCCUCUGCGCAGUAGUAAAACACUCGCAACAGGAGCCCGGCGCGGUCCACUGCCGUAAAACCCCCCAACUUUUUAUAGUUGACCUCGAAUCAGGUAGGACUACCCGCUGGACUUAAGCAUAUCAAUAAGCGGAGGA
rnacentral:misc_RNA from 1 species